rnacentral:lncRNA from 1 species
CAGGGCUGAGACUGAAGGUGUAGAACGGACCACCUACUCUACGCAGGACAGUCAUAAAGGGCCAGACAUGUAAGCUGAAGCUGUUGGUAGAGCUUGGAGAAGAGCAACUCAAGGUUUUAAAACCUGUAUGCCCUUGAUCCUACUCCUCCCUCCACUAUUGCACCUCCUUGGAAAUCUGAGAGACAUUCAUGUCCCAGGAGUGACCAGCAUGAAGAGAGCUGAAACUCAGCCCCAUUGCACAGCUGGCUCCCAAGGAUCUAUCAUGGGUAAAGAAGACUGCUGCUCUGUACAAUUCCAAGCGGCACCAUUCACAUCAUAUUCAAGAUGAAUGGCAAAAUUCUGGAGCACAUAGAAUAUAAUGUAAAUGGCAUCCCUUGGAGCUAUGCAAUGUGGCAGCCCUGUAUAAAUUUCUAAUGUACACAUUUGUAUAUUUGUUUUCCAAGGCUGUCAAAAAAUUACCACAAACUAUGUGAAUUACAACAACAGAAAUUGUCUUACAGUUUUGGAGUCUUACAGUUCUGGAGGUGAGAAGUUCUAAAUUCAGGUGUUGGCAGAGCCUUGCUUUAUCCUAACCUCUGGUCAUCCUGG